GCGAUACAUAAUUUUUCAAGACGAAGAAUUAAUAACAGAAGCCGGGAAAUGCGCAAAGUAACAAGCCGAGAAAAAAUUCUUGAAUUGUAGCUGCUUGAUGGUUAUACUUUUAAUCAAACCACUGCCUUUGAAACUGCAUGAUGAAAGAUAAACUUUGCAAUAUCACCUAUAACAGAGGUGGGCAUUUAGCCCUCUGUGGCAUUCUGCACCGUUCGGGAACGCUUGCUGAUUUUGAGGGCUUGGUGAGGGGA
rnacentral:lncRNA from 1 species